rnacentral:rRNA from 1 species
GACGAACGCUGGCUGCGUGCCUAAUACAUGCAAGUCGAACGCAGUUGCGAACGGGUGAGUAACGCGUAGGUGCCUGCAUCAUGGCGGGGGAUAAGUAUUGGAAACGAUAGCUAAUAUAGUUUACCUUGAGCUGGACCUUCGUUGUAUUCGCUAGUUGGCGAGGUAAAGGCCCAACAUGGCGACGAUACAUAGCCGACCCGAGAGGGUGGUCGGCCAAACUGGGACUGAGACACGGCCCAGACUCCUACGGGAGGUCGCAGUAGGGAAUCUUCGGCAAUUGAGGGAAGGCUGACCGAGCAACGCCGCGUGAGUGAAGAAGGUUUUCGGAUCGUAAAGCUUUGUUGUUAGAGAAGCGGUAACUAACCAGAAAGGGACGGCUAACUACGUGCCAGCAGCCGCGGUAAUUC